CGUAUCGGAAAAUGAUAGCCGCAAUUAAAGGCGCGUUGAGGGCUGAAAUGGGGAGGCGAUGUCGUCUGAUGUAGAAGGGUUUAACGCCAGAGCGUUUGCCGGGUUAAUCUACUGAGGUGCACGGCGGUUGAAACGCGAUCCUUUUUUUCGACACUCGGCGGGCGUUUGAGUUCGCCUAAUCGAGCAUUUGUCACGCAGUUUGAUUACUUCGAUUUAGAUUGCGUUAUACAGAGCCAUUCUAAGACCGCUAUACACGAAAACUGCGGCUCGACGACGAGUCAACAUGUUUAUAAGCUCUCUCACUUUGUUGAUAAUCUGACGGCAUUCCCCCGGGAUAUUGACUAAAAAGGUGCCCUCUCCAGUUCCCCUGAUGGAUCUGCGGAGUCGGAUAUCUGGCGCUGCGGAGAACCGAGCUGAUUGCAGUACCAGCACUCUGAAGCACUUAUUUGAGCAGGAAAGAUAAAGGAGCCGAUUACCCUUGAGAGGGAGGACCUGGUGCGGGCCGCACCCACGUGGAGACUGGAAGGGCGAGCCCCUCCUGGACAGCCCGUAUUAGGAUCUCCUGGUCUGAGCUGAUGAUUGCCAUCCUCCAGGCAUAAUCUGUGCCGAGAGGCUCGCCAUCGUGCAGUGCUAUGCAUUGCCAGAGCACGUGAGUAUCGUGAGUGAAGCGUCUACUGUCGGAUCAACACACUCCAGGGUCUCUUUCUUCUCGACAUGGCUGAGAAGGGCAGCACAGGAGCAGAUAGCCAGACCGUUAAGAGACCAAAAGGGAAGGAUGCAUCGUGUGUGCCGGGUCUGAUCGCAUAGGAGGAAUUUGUCAUGCUGCAACACACGGUGGGGCAGCACCAUUGCCGUAUCAGGAGGCAACAGUUUCAUUGCCACUGAAUAAGCUUGACAUGGCCUGGCGAGCCUCUGCUGAUGGUACUUCUCGCCUAACCAGCAUGCUUUCAAGCUGAGCCGAGAUUAUGACCAAGACAAGGAUGCACAAACUUAUUGGCUGAAACCUAGCUCCCAACAAACGUGGCCAGCAGAUCACUGACGAGGAAGAGGCUCAAGUAACACUCCUCAACCAAGCUUGGCGGGCUCAGCUGCUGAGGCCUGUGGAGCCCUGGACUAGGAACCUCACCGACAUGCUUCUCCAACCUCUUUCCUUUUACAAUAAAUAAUUCUCAGUUAAUACUUGAAGUCAUAUGCCAUAACCAAACCUGCAAAUGGUUCAGCCAAUUUAAUAUAGUUGUCACACAUGCACUUUUGAUUGCAAUCGGGGCCGAUCCGGAUCGGACUUCUUGAGCGCAAUUAGCAAGUUGGUCGCUGCUACGCGGUGCAGCCUGAGCCAGAUUAAGUUUGGCAUGGGCAUCAGCCAAAUCGUGAUGCACGAAUUGUGAUAGUUUUUGAUCGCAAUUAAAUGUGACCGUGUAGCAGCUCCUUAUCCGGAUCGAGCCUAAUCCAGAUCAGCCCUGAUCGCGAUCAAAAGUGCCCAUGCGACACCGGUAUAAGACUCACAUGAUGCUUGCAGAGGAUGAACAUUCCAGAU